AGGGAAUCUUCCGCAAUGGACGAAAGUCUGACGGAGCAACGCCGCGUGAGUGAGGAAGGCCUUCGGGUCGUAAAGCUCUGUUGCCAGGGAAGAACGUGCGUGGGAGUAACUGCCCGCGUAAUGACGGUACCUGAGAAGAAAGCCCCGGCUAACUACGUGCCAGCAGCCGCGGUAAUACGUAGGGGGCAAGCGUUGUCCGGAAUUAUUGGGCGUAAAGCGCGCGCAGGCGGCUUUGUAAGUCUUGUGUUUAAACGCGGGGCUCAACCCUGUGUCGCAUGGGAAACUGCAAGGCUUGAGUGGAGAAGAGGAAAGUGGAAUUCCACGUGUAGCGGUGAAAUGCGUAGAGAUGUGGAGGAACACCAGUGGCGAAGGCGACUUUCUGGGCUGUAACUGACGCUGAGGCGCGAAAGCGUGGGGAGCAAAC
rnacentral:rRNA from 1 species